rnacentral:rRNA from 1 species
GACGGAGGGGGCUAGCGUUGUUCGGAAUUACUGGGCGUAAAGCGCACGUAGGCGGCGUCUCAAGUUGGGGGUGAAAUCCCGGGGCUCAACCCCGGAAUUGCCUCCAAGACUGAGGUGCUGGAGUUCGGAAGAGGAGAGCGGAAUUCCCAGUGUAGAGGUGAAAUUCGUAGAUAUUGGGAAGAACACCGGUGGCGAAGGCGGCUCUCUGGUCCGAUACUGACGCUGAGGUGCGAAAGCGUGGGGAG